GUCAUAUUUCACCGAGAACUCGGGGAAGUGCGCUAACCGUGUAUUGCAACAUUGGAGCGGGUGACUUAUCUCCCCGUACUGUGACAGCACACGAAACCAGCCAGGAUUGUGUUCAGGGAUUUAUUUUGAUUGAGUGUGCUGUUAUUUUUUUUUAACUGAGUUUUGUUGUGUUCAAUCUGUCUUACAGGUUUAUAGAGAAGUAGGGAAGGACAGUAUGGAGCAUAGAUUUGAAGGUACCCACGAAGUGGAUAUUCAACAUGAGGGCAACAUCACGUCCAUGAAACAAAUCGUGUGUACCAAAAAGUGCCACAACCUCUUCGUCCCAUUCACCACCUUCAUGCUCCGCCACCUCCCCAUUCCCUACCGCAGCAAAGCCAUACUCGACGUCAUCAACAUCCUAGCCUAUCUCUCCGUGAAACUUGAAGUCAGCUUCACCAGUUACGACAGGCCAGAGUUCUAACACAACACCAACCGACCGUAUCCGUUUGGAACAGCCAAGGGCAGUAGCCAGGUACGCACCGGAAGUGGGAGAAUCGGAAUCACAAUCAGGGAGAAACGUAAACCGAACCGCACUUGCCCUUGUAAAGCGUGUACGAAUUCCGGCAACUCCGUUGAAGAAUGGGGAAUCAUAAGGAUCAUCACUUCCGUCCACGUGGUCUAUGACGCAACGGAAGCUCUACACACUACCUGCAGGUUUGGGUAUGACUCACUUCACAGCGCCGCCAUAUUUCUCGAAGUCAUCGGCAUGGAGAGAGCGGACGUCAACGACGACCGGUGUCACGUGACAUGCGUCACGCACGACAUGCGGUUCAUCAGUGACGUGAACAGAGAGUGGAUCCGGUACCCCGCGGCGCACCGUAAAGUGAACGAAUUCUUCGACAGUCCCAAGCACCGGCUGGUGGUCAUUGUGUCGCACCCCCACGGGCUAUUCAAGCACGUUUCCGUCGGGGAGUGGAUCUCUAAGGACCAUGUCUCCGACUCGCCGGUCGGGCACACCCAAAGCAGGUACACCUACACGACCCCCACCUGCCCGGGGUCGAGCGGCGCCACCAUCUACGCCAUGGGGCGGAAGUGGGGGUUUUGGUUCAACCAAACUCACUGUGGUUAUAACGGGGUGGAGAACUUCAGCGGCAGUGCGUGUGACUAGGGUGGAUGUAACAAUGGUUACACCAAUUACAUGACAAUUAAUAAUGUUACUGUAACAUUUUUGACAACUUCAGCGGCAGUGCGUGUGACUAGGGUGGAUGUAACAAUGCUUACAUCAAUUACAUGACAAUUAACAAAUGUUACUGUAACAUUUUUGACAACUUCAGCGGCAGUGGGUGUAACUAGGGUGGAUGUAACAAUGCUUACAUCAGUUACAUGCGAAUUAACAAAUGUUACUGUAACAUUUUUGACAACUUCAGCGGCAGUGGGUGUGACUAGUGUGGAUGUAACAAUGCUUACAUCAGUUACAUGACAAUUAACAAAUAUUACUGUAACAUUUUUGACAACUUCAGCGGCAGUGGGUGUGACUAGGGUGGAUGUAACAAUGGUUACAUCAGUUACAUGACAAUUAACAAAUAUUACUGUAACAUUUUUGACAACUUCAGCGGCAGUGCGUGUGACUAGGGUGGAUGUAACAAUGCUUACAUCAAUUACAUGACAAUUAACAAAUGUUACUGUAACAUUUUUGACAACUUCAGCGGCAGUGGGUGUGACUAGUGUGGAUGUAACAAUGCUUACAUCAGUUACAUGACAAUUAACAAAUAUUACUGUAACAUUUUUGACAACUUCAGCGGCAGUGGGUGUGACUAGGGUGGAUGUAACAAUGCUUACAUCAAUUACAUGACAAUUAACAAAUGUUACUGUAACAUUUUUGACAACUUCAGCGGCAGUGGGUGUGACUAGGGUGGAUGUAACAAUGGUUACAUUAGUUACAUGACAAUUAACAAAUAUUACUGUAACAUUUUUGACAACUUCAGCGGAUGAUGGAAGAGAAUGAACAAUGUUACUGUAACAACGUUGAAAAUAUCUUCGGCUGUUGUUGUAAUUAGGGUGAAUGUUACAGUUCCCAAUAGACAUUAUACAAUGCAACUGUAACGAUCUUAACAACUCCGAUUGCUGUGGUUGUGAUUAGGAUGGAUGUAACAUUGCCAAAUAGACCAUUAACAAUGUUACUGUAACAAUGUGGCUGUGGGUUUGACUAGGGUGGAUGUGCUAUUGCCAAAUGAACCAUCAACAGUGUUUAAAACUUUUUGUGUUCUUCAGUCAACUUAAGUUAAAAUGCAGUUAUCAGUUAACAAUGACGCUUUAAAAAUCUCACA